UACGGGGGGGGCAAGCGUUGUUCGGAAUUACUGGGCGUAAAGGGCUCGUAGGUGGCCAACUAAGUCAGACGUGAAAUCCCUCGGUUUAACCGGGGAACUGCGUCUGAUACUGGAUGGCUUGAGUUUGGGAGAGGGAUGCGGAAUUCCAGGUGUAGCGGUGAAAUGCGUAGAUAUCGGUAGGAACACCCGUGGCGAAGGCGGUCUCCUGGGACGUUCUUGACGCUGAGGCGCGAAAGCUGGGGGAGCGAACGGG
rnacentral:rRNA from 1 species